UUUUGAUCAAAGGCAAAGAUCUGUGUAGUGUUCAGAAUAAAGAAUUCACAAGAUUAAUUUAAUAUAGGAGAUUUUGGAUAAAUCCGCAAAGCAAAUAAAAGAAACGAAAAUGGAUCCAACCUUGAACAAUGCCGCGGUGGAAGGUAAUAUCAGUAAUGGUGAUUUUGUACUUGCUGAAUAUCUGAAAAGGGAUGAAGAAAAUGUGUACCAAGUCACUCCACGGGCAACACAAUCUUACACAUGGCGGCACAUUAUGGCCGCUCCCAUUUCGCAUCAAAAGUCCUUAAGAUUACUCCGGCAUUGUUAUGCCAUCAGAACAAGAAGAAUGAGACUGCGCUUCACAUAGAAGCUAAUGAAGGUCGCAUCGAAGUAGUCCACUUGCUACUUAGUAUGGAGGAGCAUUAUAAGGAGACGCUAAUGACGAUGACAGAUGAGAAUGGAGAUACAGCCCUGCAAAAGUCCGUGCGAAGCUGACAUCAAGAUGUAGCCAGACUUUUGGUGAAAGAAGAUCCUGAAUUCGAAUUUCCAUCCAACAAGGCCCGGGAGACACCGCUGUAUCUGGAAACUGAGUCUGGUGUUCGUGAAGCUUUGAGUGAAAUCUUUAACUCAUGCAAGCAAUCAACUUCUUCUGCAGGUCCAUUAAAUCGAACACCUCUGCAUGCAGCAGUAAUUCAGGAACACACGGAUAGCAUGUAUCCUUGAAAUGAAGUACAAGAUGCGGCAAGCGAGUUCGAGAUGGUCUAGGCAUGUAAAGAGUAGAGGAGCCGAUGCCCCAUGUGGAGGUGCGAGAGAUUGGCUAUGAAUGGUUUCAAGAGAGGUAGAGUAGAUCGAAGAAGUAUGGGAAGAACUGAUUAGCCAAGACUUGAUGUAGUUUCAGCUAACUGAGGACAUGACCUAAGAUGAAUCCGGUCGAGUUGUCUCUCUUUUCCUUCCAUACUAGUUAGUUGUAGUAUUAUUUGUAGUUUCUCUUCCUUCAAUUUCUAUAAUUAUCUAUUACUCUUUUGUGCUUCGAU